rnacentral:rRNA from 1 species
UACGUAGGGUGCAAGCGUUAUCCGGAAUUAUUGGGCGUAAAGAGCUCGUAGGCGGUUUGUCGCGUCUGCUGUGAAAACUGGAGGCUCAACCUUCAGAGGUCGACCGAAACCAUCUGGCUAGAGUCCGGGAGAGGAGAGUGGAAUUCCGGGUGUAGCGGUGAAAUGCGUAGAUAUCCGGAGGAACACCGGUGGCGAAGGCGGCUCCCUGGACCGACACUGACCGCUGAGGCGCGAAAGCUAGGGGAGCAAACGGG